UGAUCGGGAGGGAUACCCUCCUUAUCUUGAAUCUUAGCUUUCACAUUAUCAAUAGUAUCUGAACUCUCAACCUCCAAAGUAAUAGUUUUUCCGGUAAGGGUCUUUACAAAAAUUUGCAUACCACCACGAAGCCGCAAAACCAAAUGCAGAGUGGAUUCCUUUUGGAUAUUAUAAUCAGCAAGGGUCCUUCCAUCUUCAAGUUGUUUCCCUGCAAAGAUAAGUCUCUGCUGAUCAGGAGGGAUGCCUUCCUUAUCCUGAAUCUUAGCUUUCACAUUAUCAAUAGUAUCUGAACUCUCAACCUCCAAA
rnacentral:lncRNA from 1 species